rnacentral:rRNA from 1 species
UGGGGAAUUUUGGACAAUGGGCGAAGGCCUGAUCCAGCAAUGCCGCGUGUGUGAAGAAGGCCUUCGGGUUGUAAAGCACUUUUGUCCGGAAAGAAAUCCUUGGCUCUAAUACAGUCGGGGGAUGACGGUACCGGAAGAAUAAGCACCGGCUAACUACGUGCCAGCAGCCGCGGUAAUACGUAGGGUGCAAGCGUUAAUCGGAAUUACUGGGCGUAAAGCGUGCGCAGGCGGUUUGCUAAGACCGAUGUGAAAUCCCCGGGCUCAACCUGGGAACUGCAUUGGUGACUGGCAGGCUAGAGUAUGGCAGAGGGGGGUAGAAUUCCACGUGUAGCAGUGAAAUGCGUAGAGAUGUGGAGGAAUACCGAUGGCGAAGGCAGCCCCCUGGGCCAAUACUGACGCUCAUGCACGAAAGCGUGGGGAGCAAACAGGAUUAGAUACCCUGGUAGUCCACGCCCUAAACGAUGUCAACUAGUUGUUGGGGAUUCAUUUCCUUAGUAACGUAGCUAACGCGUGAAGUUGACCGCCUGGGGAGUACGGUCGCAAGAUUAAAACUUAAAGGAAUUGACGGGGU